AGCAGAGCCUUGCUCGGGACUCUUACAGUGGAGAUCAGUCUCCGCAUGUAUGGACGCUCUGUACGGCCCUGGUGAACGCUUGGCUGUGAGGAUCACCACGGCCAUGGCCACAACAGAGCCAGCAUUGGUUUAUUUCAACUUGGAGAGUGCGAGUCACCCGGAUUUAAUUACCCUUUCCAUAAUGGCUGUCUGGAGAUAAUCUCAAACAAGCAGACAUGGGUGAGUUUGCCAUCAUAAGAAAACGUCAUGCUCACAAAGAUUCACAGACAUGCCCAUGUAAAGAAAUAUCAAAAGGCAAUUGUCUAGGGACAGAGCAACGCGUCCUCUUUCAUUUUAAGUCACCCAGUGAAUUUCACACGCAGUCACCAAUAUGACACGCGCCCUCAUAAUAGAAACCCAUAACCCAGUAAUAAAGGCUCGAGCUAAGCACUACAAGAGAAAACAGCUCUUUGUAAAAACAUCCAUUUGCAUUUAGCUCAGACAACAAGCUUCUGGCUUUUAAUGUGGCCUCUAAUGCAAUUAGUUUCUGGCUAGAGUCGCCGGGAUGAAAAAUAGCAACAUCUCCACGGACAUGAGAGGAGGAGCAGAGGCCGAUCGCAAUCACGGCCCCAUGUCGUGAGCCACCGCACAAAACAACAGCUCGAUGAUUCAUGCGGAAAAUGAAGUCUAUUAUGUAGCCGUUGCACUGACCCUGACAAUUUUCUGUGUUUCUCAUUAUGUCAGUCACUUGAUAUGAUACACUCAUUCCACAUGAUGAGCACCAUUUAACAUGGUAAACCCUUUGAUGUGUGGAUCAUACUUGGCUAAAGAUGGUAACAAUUUGCUAGAGAGAAGACAAAUCUUGUCAACAGGAUCUAAUGGCAAGGUGCACACACACACACACACACACUCACGGAAGACCCAGGGUCGUGUAAACAGAAGACACUAUGGCUCCAUUCAAAGUCUGUUUUCUCAAGAGUGUGGGCAAAUUAUCCCCGUGAGCAGAGUGUGAAACAAGAGACGUGCGAUACCACAGCGGUCAGGAACGGCGUGUGUCACCGGAGCUUACUGGCAGCCUAUUACGUUAGCUGCUGGUUUUCUUCCUCACUUUCUCCUGGUCAUCUCAUCAAUGGGCCAGCUGGAGGGAUUCCUGGCAGAGUGAUUUGGGAUUGUAUCAUAAAAUCACAUUGCCAGGGAUUUCCAACCAGCUGUGAACUGUUUACUCCAGGAAAGUCUCCGUCGAGUCGACCCUGCUUACACCCUGAUGGAUGAGGCCGUCAAAUCCAAAUCAAAGAGAACGGAUCAAACCUUUUUUUUCUCGCCACGGCCCGAGGACUAAAUAAUCUACCCUCAGAAUGAACCAUAGCUGAGGACCGAAGAGCACCGAAAUAGAAAGUUCGUAUCUGUAGGCUCCACAUAUGUUUUGUUUGCCGCCUUUUGUUCUUUACAUAAACACUGGCUUUCGUCCUAAGACUGUGGUUUUGGGAAACUGGAAAUGUGAUACUAGGGUAUCGUGCCGCACAGACGUAUGUGACCCGACGUAAUGGUAAUAUAAAAAGCUGUGGCUUCGGCAGCUGAGGCCGUCUUAGAAAUGGGUGGUGUAAGCGGUAGGUUCUGGAAAUGGUGCCACAGUGUUUUGUUAAAUAACUGGAUGUGUGAGGAAAAAUGUGAUAAUGGAUUCAUUAAGCAGAGGAUGUAGCGUUUUUUAUAUGUGCAUUUAUCGGAGAUGAAAAAAAAUUAUUUAGGAAACAUUGAGUAUUUUGAACGUCUUAGAACUGAAAAGUUUACUUCACUACAACUAUUUUAAUAGAUUAACUAAAAUGGAUUUAGAUUUUAUAAUUUUUUUUUACAUUAUAUAAUUGAUUUAUUCAUUCAUUCAUUUCAAAAGGCCAAAAAUUAGAGGUGUUUCUUCAUCUAUGGGCACUUUGACUAUGGUUGCCUUUGAAAAAUAUUUUUUACAAUCAAAAAUAUAUUUUCAAAAUGGAAUUUAAAUACUCUAUUAAAAUGUUUUUUUUGUUUGUUUGUUUGUUUCAGAAGAUCACAAAUAUUUUCGUGUCAAUUUCACAUCACAACAAAUUAUAUUUUGUUUUUAUAUUUACAAACAAUUUUACAGAAACAAUUUUACCUUUAUUGAAAUAUUUAAUAGCAUAAUUAGGGAGAAAUAACUUUUUAAAAUGUUUAAGCAUGUAAAAUCAUUAUUGCAUGAAAGUUAAACCUAAAAUCUAUACACAACAUUUAAAAAGCAGCAACACGUUUUAAAAAAAACCUAACACAUGGAUAUAAAAGUGCCCAAAGAUUAAGAAACAUCUAAAUAUGUUUGUGUGUGUUGAAAAUACAAUACAUGUCAGUACAUAUUAAAAAAAGAAGAUAAACUCUUUUUAGUUUAAUGCUGUAAUGUUUAAACAGAUUUUUUACAUUUAAUUAUCAUUUGUUUAAUGAUUUGGUGAACAUCUGGAUUUUAUGUCUGAUGAAGUUUCGUGAGGUGCAGGACUUAGCUCACUCUGUGAACAGAUCUCGGAUAUCCUAUGUUCACAGUGGCUAAGUUCCGCUCCUCUGAGGCCCACACUCAAAAUCAGCCAAGAGGUGAGAACACAAACAUGAAGGCUGGCCAUGCUAUAGCAAACCGGAAAAAGGACACAAACCUGAUCCAGAGGAACUACGGGAAAUGACCCGACAGGGAAAGAAGUCACAGAGCAAUCCUUCGUCCCACCCGCCUGGUCAGACAGGGUGGUCUGGUCAAGUUGGCGAUAAGCCAGAGCACUAUUCAACAUACAUGAAUGGAACAUAGGCAGUGCUGAACUUCCCUGAAGCCCCUUUAUGUUUCUGUCAGUCGAUGUAUUAUAUAUGCUAUAAAGAAUGUACUGGUUAAUUUAUGCCAGAAAUAUUAAACAUUCAUUUGAUGAAUACUUCUGUUAACCUUAAAACGCAAGUGCAAAAUUUUAAAUAUAGGUAAAACACCUAUAAAAUCGGUAACAAUUUACAAUAAGGUGUCAUUUAUUAACAUUAAUGUAUUAACUGAUAUGAACAAACAAUAAACAAUACAUUUAUUAGUUAUUCAUUGUUGUUAACAUUAAUUCAUAAAAAUGCAAUUAUCCAUUGUUAGUUUAUGUUAGCUCACAGUGCUAAUGUAACUAAUGUUAACAAACACAACUUUUUAGUAAACGCUAAAAUUAGUAUUACUAAAAGCUGUAGAAGCAUUGUUUAUUCUUUGUUCAUGCUAACUAAUGUUUUUAACUAAUGUUAUCUAUUUGUAAAGUGUUACCAAAAAACUACAUGGAAGCAUUUGUUUUAUUAAUUUUAAUGCAGUACAGUGUGCCCUGUGCACAGAUUUCUCAUAGUAUAUAAACAAACUCCAAAAGUCUGGGCAACACUAAAAUCUAAGUUUAAAAAGGUUUAUAUUCCAAAUAUAGAACAACUUGGCCGAUAUUUUUAAUAAAUAACUUUUAGCAAAUAGAUAAAUAAACUUACAAAUGCAACUAUGGUGUAUUUUGUAAGAUGUAACUUUUUAACUAGAAUUGAAUAACAUCAAUAAUAUCAAAAACUAUUAAGUAAUAGAAGCAUAUUAACUAUGCUCAGACUUUCGGAACUAACCUUCCACUUUGGUUCUUUUGGGAUUUUAUUUAAUGUGUGUGUGUGUGUGUGUUUGAGUAUUUUUAAUAAAUCAAAUGAUAUCUGAAUUUCUAAUAUGAAAAUAUGCACAAAUUUGUGACCAAACAGCUGCAGAUCCAAGCACAUUGUUUUUUUCAUCAUGUAUUGAGCUAAUACUUGACUCGGAUGCAAAACUUUCUAUAUUGUAUAUCCUAAAUAAACCUGCUAUCCAGCUCUGAUCACGAUGCAGACUUACAAUCAAUCCGAAGCUAAACACGGAGCUUUGUAGAGACCCUUGUAACUGGCAGAGGCCAGUGUGAGAUACAGCACUGGGUUCAACCUCCUGUGCCUACUGAGCUGAUAACAGUUGAUGUAUUUAGCACUGGCUCAGUUCAGCAGGAACCGGAGUUAAGCCCCUUAAGACCAAGAGCGCUUUCGAAGACUCUGCGGCUUACAGAAAAUGCAGUCAUCUGUACGGAUCAUACUCCUAAGAACGAUUUUCGUUAUCUGGCAAGAUCUAAAGAGUAUGGAGGAAAGCUGCUCCUGUAAUUUGAGCUUUAAACAAAUAAUAGGAGCAGAGGUUUUCCAGAUACAUUUCCAACUGGAUCAUCUGCGCCAGGCCAAAUGUAAUAAUUCAGCUAAUUGACUCCUAAUAUGUCAAUCUUACUCUGCUCAAGAACUCCAUCAUGUUUCAAUUCCACAAGGGAGUGAGUAUCGUGAACUGGAAGAUGGAAAAAAAAGAACAGAAAUAAUAAAAUGACAUUUUAAACUG